rnacentral:rRNA from 1 species
GAUGAACGCUGGCGGCGUGCCUAAUACAUGCAAGUCGAGCGAACAGACGAGGAGCUUGCUCCUCUGACGUUAGCGGCGGACGGGUGAGUAACACGUGGAUAACCUACCUAUAAGACUGGGAUAACUUCGGGAAACCGGAGCUAAUACCGGAUAAUAUAUUGUACCGCAUGGUUCAAUAGUGAAAGACGGUUUUGCUGUCACUUAUAGAUGGAUCCGCGCCGCAUUAGCUAGUUGGUAAGGUAACGGCUUACCAAGGCAACGAUGCGUAGCCGACCUGAGAGGGUGAUCGGCCACACUGGAACGGAGCCACGGUCCAGACUCCUACGGGAGGCAGCAGUAGGGAAUCUUCCGCAAUGGGCGAAAGCCUGGCGGAGGAACGCCGCGUGAGUGAUGAAGGUCUUCGGAUCGUAAAACUCUGUUAUUAGGGAAGAACAAAUGUGUAAGUAACUAUGCACGUCUUGACGGUACCUAAUCAGAAAGCCACGGCUAACUACGUG